rnacentral:rRNA from 1 species
CCUACGGGAGGCAGCAGUGGGGAAUAUUGCACAAUGGGCGCAAGCCUGAUGCAGCGACGCCGCGUGAGGGAUGGAGGCCUUCGGGUUGUGAACCUCUUUCGCUCAUGGUCAAGCCGCAACAAUGGUUGUGGUGAGGGUAGUGGGUAAAGAAGCGCCGGCUAACUACGUGCCAGCAGCCGCGGUAAUACGUAGGGCGCGAGCGUUGUCCGGAAUUAUUGGGCGUAAAGGGCUUGUAGGCGGUUGGUCGCGUCUGCCGUGAAAUCCUCUGGCUUAACUGGGGGCGUGCGGUGGGUACGGGCUGACCUGAGUGCGGUAGGGGAGACUGGAACUCCUGGUGUAGCGGUGGAAUGCGUGGAUAUUAGGAGGAACACCGGAGGCGAAGGCGGCUUACUGGACGACAACUGACGUUGAGGCUCGAAGGCGUGGGGAGCAAACAGGAUUAGAUACCCUGGUAGUCCGCGCAGUAAACGAUGAAUACUUGGUGUCGGGGAGGUAAACUCUUCGGUGCCGCAAGCAAACGCAUUAAGUAUUCCACCUGGGGAGUACGUUCGCAAGAAUGAAACUCAAAGGAAUUGACGG